rnacentral:rRNA from 1 species
GGGGUGGGCGCCGGUCUUAAUCCUGGCAGGUCGAGCGAACAGAUGAGAAGCUUGCUUCUCUGAUGUUAGCGGCGGACGGGUGAGUAACACGUGGGUAACCUACCUAUAAGACUGGGAUAACUCCGGGAAACCGGGGCUAAUACCGGAUAAUAUUUUGAACCGCAUGGUUCAAUAGUGAAAGACGGUUUCGGCUGUCACUUAUAGAUGGACCCGCGCCGUAUUAGCUAGUUGGUAAGGUAACGGCUUACCAAGGCGACGAUACGUAGCCGACCUGAGAGGGUGAUCGGCCACACUGGAACUGAGACACGGUCCAGACUCCUACGGGAGGCAGCAGUAGGGAAUCUUCCGCAAUGGGCGAAAGCCUGACGGAGCAACGCCGCGUGAGUGAUGAAGGUCUUCGGAUCGUAAAACUCUGUUGUUAGGGAAGAACAAAUUUGUUAGUAACUGAACAAGUCUUGACGGUACCUAACCAGAAAGCCACGGCUAACUACGUGCCAGCAGCCGCGGUAAUACGUAGGUGGCAAGCGUUAUCCGGAAUUAUUGGGCGUAAAGCGCGCGUAGGCGGUUUCUUAAGUCUGAUGUGAAAGCCCACGGCUCAACCGUGGAGGGUCAUUGGAAACUGGGAAACUUGAGUGCAGAAGAGGAGAGUGGAAUUCCAUGUGUAGCGGUGAAAUGCGCAGAGAUAUGGAGGAACACCAGUGGCGAAGGCGGCUCUCUGGUCUGUAACUGACGCUGAUGUGCGAAAGCGUGGGGAUCAAACAGGAUUAGAUACCCUGGUAGUCCACGCCGUAAACGAUGAGUGCUAAGUGUUAGGGGUUUCCGCCCCUUAGUGCUGCAGCUAACGCAUUAAGCACUCCGCCUGGGGAGUACGACCGCAAAGGUUGAAACUCAAAGGAAUUUGACGGGGACCCGCCACAAGCGGUGAGCAUGGUGGUUUAAUUCGAAGCAACGCGAAGAACCUUUACCAAAUCUUGACAUCCUUUGAACUGCUCUAGAGAAUAAGAGUCUUUCCCUCUUCGGGGGGACAAAGUGACAGUUGCUGCAUGAAUUGGUCGUCAGCCUCGUGUCGUGAAAUGUUUGGGUAAGUCCGCACCGGAGGCGCAAACUCUUUAGCCUAAGUGCCAAUCAUUCAGUGCGCAAUCUAGUGAACCUGCGUGAACAAACUGGAGGGAACGUUGUGA